rfam:Drosophila simulans chromosome 2R, whole genome shotgun sequence.
AUAUGGGCAAUGAUGAACACUUUAUUUAAGCCAAACAGUUAUCCCUGUCAUAAGAAUAAUUGAUGAUAAAAGUUGCUGAUUCAUAU